rnacentral:rRNA from 1 species
AUACGUAGGGGGCGAGCGUUGUCCGGAAUGAUUGGGCGUAAAGGGCGCGUAGGCGGCGCGGUAAGUCUGGAGUGAAAGUCCUGCUUUCAAGGUGGGAAUUGCUUUGGAUACUGCCGCGCUUGAGUGCAGGAGAGGUAAGUGGAAUUCCCAGUGUAGCGGUGAAAUGCGUAGAGAUUGGGAGGAACACCAGUGGCGAAGGCGACUUACUGGACUGUAGCUGACGCUGAGGCGCGAAAGUGUGGGGAGCAAACAGGAUUAGAUACCCUGGUAGUCCACACUGUAAACGAUGAAUGCUAGGUGUAGGGGGUAUCGACCCCUUCUGUGCCGCAGUCAACACAAUAAGCAUUCCGCCUGGGGAGUACGGCCGCAAGGUUGAAACUCAAAGGAAUUGACGGGG